rnacentral:tRNA from 1 species
GGGCCCAUAGCUCAAUGGUUAGAGCAGGGGACUCAUAAUCCCUUGGUUCUCGGUUCAAAUCCGAGUGGGCCCA